rnacentral:rRNA from 1 species
GACGAACGCUGGCGGCGUGCUUAACACAUGCAAGUCGAACGGAAAGGCCCUGCUUGCAGGGUACUCGAGUGGCGAACGGGUGAGUAACACGUGGGUGUUUUCCCCUGCACUUCGGGUUAAGUCUGGGAAACUGGGCUUAUUACCCGAACGGCGUCAUUUUUAGUGUGAUGGUUGGACAGACUUUUCGGUGUCGGAUGAGCCUGCGGCCUAUCAGCUUGUUGGUGGGGUAAUGGCCUACCAAGGCGGCGAUGGGUAGCUGGCCUGAGAGGGUGGUCGGCCACAUUGGGACCGACGUGCGGCCCAAGCGCCGACGGGAGGCAACUGGGGGGAAGACUGCACAAUGGGCGCAGGGCUUGUGCAGCAAGGCCGCGGAGGGGAAGACGGCCUUCGGGGUGUAAACGCCCUUCGCGAGGAACGAAGCUUUUUGUGACGGUACCUAGAGAAGAAGCACCGGCUAACUACGUG